GAUGAAGAACGUAGCGAAAUGCGAUACUUGGUGUGAAUUGCAGAAUCCCGUGAACCAUCGAGUCUUUGAACGCAAGUUGCGCCCGAAGCCAUUAGGCCGAGGGCACGCCUGCCUGGGCGUCACACGUCGUUGCCCCCCCUAUCUACUCCUUCGGGAUUGCGGGGGGCGGAUGAUGGCCUCCCGUGCGCCUCGCCGCGCGGUUGGCAUAAAUGCCAAGUCCUCGGCGACGCACGCCACGACAAUCGGUGGUUGCGAAACCUCGGUUGCCCGUCGUGUGCGGUCGUCGCGCAUCGAGGGCUCGAAAAAAUUGCCGAGUUCCGGCUCGGCUUUCAACGCGACCCCAGGUCAGGCGGGGUUACCCGCUGAAUUUAAGCAUAUCAAUAAGCGGAGGA
rnacentral:misc_RNA from 1 species